UGGGGAAUAUUGCACAAUGGGGGAAACCCUGAUGCAGCGACGCCGCGUGAGCGAAGAAGUAUCUCGGUAUGUAAAGCUCUAUCAGCAGGGAAGAAAAAUGACGGUACCUGACUAAGAAGCCCCGGCUAACUACGUGCCAGCAGCCGCGGUAAUACGUAGGGGGCAAGCGUUAUCCGGAUUUACUGGGUGUAAAGGGAGCGCAGGCGGCGCGGCAAGUCUGAUGUGAAAGCCCGGGGCUCAACCCCGGGACUGCAUUGGAAACUGUCGCGCUCGAGUGUCGGAGAGGUAAGUGGAAUUCCUAGUGUAGCGGUGAAAUGCGUAGAUAUUAGGAGGAACACCAGUGGCGAAGGCGGCUUACUGGACGACAACUGACGCUGAGGCUCGAAAGCGUGGGGAGCAAACAGG
rnacentral:rRNA from 1 species